rnacentral:rRNA from 1 species
CAGUCGCCGCGGUAAUACGUAGGGUGCGAGCGUUAAUCGGAAUUACUGGGCGUAAAGCGUGCGCAGGCGGUUUUGUAAGACAGGCGUGAAAUCCCCGGGCUCAACCUGGGAAUGGCGCUUGUGACUGCAAAGCUAGAGUGCGGCAGAGGGGGAUGGAAUUCCGCGUGUAGCAGUGAAAUGCGUAGAUAUGCGGAGGAACACCGAUGGCGAAGGCAAUCCCCUGGGCCUGCACUGACGCUCUUGCACGAAAGCGUGGGGAGCAAACAGGAUUAGAUACCCGCGUAGUCCCUGUCUCUUAUAC